rnacentral:lncRNA from 1 species
GCUCCCUGUCCUCCACACCAGCUCUGUGCUUGUUUGUUCCUUCUCCUUCCUCAGCCCCCAUCUCUUUUGUAUGUUUCCCUUUCUUUUCCAUUAUUUAAUGUGAUACUGCCACAUUAUUUCUUGCCUAGAUUUUUUAAAAAAAUAUAAUUUCUAUUCAUCUCUUCAUCUGAGUCAGAAUAAAAUACUUUUACUUUCUUCAAUGUAUGUACUCACGCUGAGGAAAAUUCCUCAAGGGGCCCCAUGGCCCAUGGAUUGAGUACUGACUCCUCUGCUUGACUCGUAAGAUCUUCAGUAAUGUGGCCAUGACUCCCUUUUUCAUUUCUGUUGCUCCCAGUUAUUUCCCUGUCCUCUCGCUAAAUAGGACUAACUGAGUGUUCUUCUCUCGAGCUUCUUGUUUUCUUAGCCCCUGGCCUCUGUUGUUUAUUUUUAGAAUGUAUUUAACUUUAACAGUAGAGGAUGAUGAUUGAGGUGUAAACACUGGGGCUAGACUAACUGGGUUGGGAACUUGGACAAGUAUUCUUUUUGUCUCAUUUUCCACAUCUGUACAAUGGAUAUAGCAAUAGUAUCUACCUUAUGAUUGUUGUAUUAAAACUUAAUUCACUGACAGAUGAAUGGAUAAAGAGGAUGUGUAUAUAUGUGUAUAUAUACAGUGGAGUAUUACUUAGCCAUAAAAAAGAAUGAAAUCUUGCCAUUUGUGACAACAUGGAUGGACCUACUGGUUAUUAUGCUGAAGUGAAAUAAGUCAGAGGCAAAUAUCUUACGAUUUCACUUAAGUAAAUAUGUGGAAUCUAAAAAGGAAAACAAAUGAACAAACAUUAUAAAGCAAACAGAGUCAUAGAUAUAGAACAUAAAUACAGAGAUACCAAAGACUACCACUGUAUAAUAUGAAAUAGGUUCACUGCCUACUCCCUUUUCAUAUUAUUUAUGAUUUGAGCAUCCUGCCUGUUGUUCUUUGAGCUCCUUAAGUAGGAAGAUUGUAUUUUAUCCAAACUUGUGUUGUGGUACAUGGUAGGUGCUUAAUAAGCAUUUGUUGGAUUGGAUUAUAUCUAGAAUACGCUUCAGCUGAAAUACUGUAGUAACUUCCAUCUGUCCUUAUAACUGUAAAUAUUCUAAGAAAGUGGUGUAAUUCUUUUUCCCUUUUUAUUUGUUUGUUUGUUUGUUUUUGGCUAUACUCACAGUAUGUGGAAAUUCCAGGGCCAGGUCUCCAAUUAGCACCAUAGCAGUGACAAACGCCAGAUAAUUAACCAGCUAGCUAGGCCACCAGAAAACUCCAGUAGUAUGAUUCUUAAAACUAGGUUUUAAACUGAAAAUAAUGGUCAUUGUCAUUACCAGUGUACUUGCACUUAAGUAUAGUGUAUUGGUUAACUAAUCAGAAUAAAAAAUAACUAGACAUGAAUCUGAAUCAGAACUUGGUACACUUUUUCUGGGCAGGACCAAACAGUAAAUAUAUUUGACUUUCCAGGUCAUAUUAUCUUUGUCAAAACUAUUCACCUUGGAUGUUGUAGUCACAUGUACAAUGAGGCCAUUUGUAUCACAGUCAUGUAAAUGAGUGGAUAUGGCUGUGUACCAGUAAAACCUAAUUUUUGCCCCUCCCCCCCAAAAAGUGGACUGUAAUUUGCCAACACAGACCUAUAUCAUUACUAUGUAGACCACUCACUGUUUUGCAGUGCUUUUGGCUGCACAAGUUCCAUGCGCUGAAUCCAAAGGAAGAAGAGCCUGUCUUCAUGUGUUGGUUUUCUCCUUAGGUGUAAGGAUGCCUUUCCCGGAAGACCUCAGCAGAUCCCUGACAUGUUUAACAGCCCCGAGGUGUAUCACACUCUCACACUUAAAUUGGUCACUGACAGUGAAAUGGGACCACCGUGAUCGGCCCAGACACAUAGGGACUCGUGUGAUUGGGGAUGGGGCCUGCCUGACCGCAUCAAGUGGGCACGUUGAUGUGGCCUUUUGAAAUGAGAACCAUUGAAUUGUACAUCCAACGUCAUGUCUUAGUAUGUUGUCGUGGUAAGUCUUCACGGGUGUGAGGUUUCUUUGGUGUCCAUCUCCAGACUUGACUUAAAUUAUUCUUGUAACAUAAAUAGACCUUUUAUAUUAAUGAAUACGAUGACGCUGCAUGACCAGACCUGAUUUGUAUUGUGAAGCUUUAGGUUUUCCAUAUGCCUUUUUGCUCAUUUUGGUACCCACAGGUAGGCAACACAGAGAAAACGGUUGUCUUCUCAUUAAAGGAAAUGGUUCACCGUAUGCCUUUCUUCUGCUGCUUGAGAAGGGGAGACCAAUCAGAAAUAAAAAGGGACUAGGUCCCUCUCAUACUUGGUAAGGGCAAGGGAGGGAGCCUCCUAGUAUUUAUCCACAACUGUUGAUGAAACAGUUUGCUGCCCAUCUUAUUAUAAAGAGAAUUCUCUAGUGCAUAGUGUUGAAAUGUUUUAGUUUCUAAAUUAGACUUAGAGCCCUUUGGCCUAACUUGAGAAUGUUUUGACGGCCCUUUGGUUAUUAUAGCAGGACUUGGUCUCUCAGGGGUCUGGGAUGGAGCUAAUUAUCCCAGUCAUUUCUGGUAGAAAGGGAGCUGCUACGCCUUGUCUGAGACUGCAUUGUCAUCCUUGUCCUGGGUUGUGUGGGACAGUGAUACAAAUGGCCUCACUGUUUUUCUGUCUGGCUUUUCUGCAGUGUAAAACUAUCCUCUAGCAACUACAAAAUGCCUUUCUUUUACUCGUUGAAAGACUUCAGGGAAGAAAGAAGUGGAGAGAGGGCUGUGAGGGAAAAGAAACCAUUAAUGGGACAUGUUUCCUGUCCCUCUUCAGCCAGAGUCUAAUCUUGGAUGAUGGUAUUCUCCUGCGUUUAUUGUGAGGGCAUUUGAGAAGGCCUUCCCCUCAGUCCUAUCUCAGUUUACACUCUAUAAAAUUGGAUUAGACAAUGUUAAUUCAAUUAAUGACUGUACUGAAAGUUUGUCUCCGUGUGCAGUGAAAACACUAGGACAGCCUCUAAUAAUCUAUGGAUUUAAUGACUGCAACUUUGAAGAGUGUUAAGCUAAAGUGAAGUUCAGAAUGGCUUGUUAACUGGGUUUAUUAGCUGUUGACCUUCCCUUUCAGCAUAAUAGUGGCAGUCAGACCGAAGAGAGCUCUAACGUCCUGAUUAGCAUUUAUCUAAAGAUAGGCUGCUGCCUGUUCCACAGUAAAUUAGUUCAAUCAGCCAUAAAGAGCUUGAGAAACAUUUUCAGCUUUAUAAAAAGAAUUAGAUGUUAGAACAGUUCAUCUGCCAUAGUGCAGUGAAGAUGGAUUGAGCCCCCGAACAUGCUCAUUUGAAGAAGGCGCUUUGAGGAUAUUGAGUAAUUGAACAGAUUUCCCCGCAAGAUUGAUCAGGGGCUCUGGUUUCCCUGUACAAGAGUGAUGCCCUAAUUUUUGCCUUCUCCUAAGAACUCCACAUCUGCUCCUAUUUCCGUGUGUUCGUUCAGUGAAGCUGAAACCCGUUUCUUUAGCACCAGCUAUACACUGUGUAUCACUUAGAAAAUAAAAGAAACAGUCUGGUGCUCACAGAGAGUCUCUGAUUUGAUUGAGAAGAAGAAAACCAAACUAAAACUUGAAAAGCAUCACUCCCACUAACACCAGCAUAAGGUAACUGAAGAGAAGAAACUGUAUAAUGACAGCUGGCACUUUUUAAAAUACAGAUCAUCUUAAAAAGUGAAGCAUAUUUGUCCAAAGAAACAAGAUAGUAGUCAGAUAAUAUUUCUGAUCCAAGUCUUGGCAUCAACUAAGUUCAUCUCAUAGUGAGUCAUAAAAGUAAAGAAGCAAAAAUUAUAAACCUUUCUAAUCAUUUAAAAUCUUAAAUUAUGACCUGGGUCUUUUUUUUUAAGGCAUAAAUGUACUGUACAAUUGAUUUUUAUGAGGUGCCCCAAUGUACUAUAAAGUAUACACAGAGCACAUAAAAUUCUAACUCUCCUGUAUCAUAAAUUUGACCUCACUGAAAUGAAUAGGCUUACUCUAUGGCAAACACUAAUGAAAUAUUUAAUUAACAGUCUCUCCACUCAUCUUUUUAGGAUUUAGAAGGGCUUCCUGGGGACUGUUUUUGUGGCCAAGGUUUUCACAAAACAAAAGAAUAAAACCUUUCCAUGAAAACAAAUGUAUUUUUUCUCUUGGUAAAUAUUUCAAUAGAGACAGCUAGUUUAUAAUUAGACUGAUGAACUUGAAUCUGGAUUUUGUCCCCAGACCUGUGAUCAUCCUUUAAAAAAAAGCUAUUCAUAUAGUUAAGUAAGUAUGCGAUGACCUCGUUCAGACUUUCUCUUGACCCCACUGGCCUCUGGGUACACACAGAAUAUGAGUGUCCUGGCAGCUCCCUCAAACCAAAGCUUUGGUGUACUUUGUGAGGAAAGAGUUGCAAUGUUGCUGAGGACAAGCUGUAGGGCUGCAGGCUUCGUGGACUCUAAAGGACCAUCUAAGGGAGUCUCCUCUCAAGCCAUCCUUACAAUUCCUGUAUUGGUUUACUUUUAUUCCAAGAAAAGUUGUCGGGAAGCCAUGACUAAAUGAAUAGAUCAAGGCAACUUAAAAAAAAAAAAAAAGAAAAAAA